rnacentral:rRNA from 1 species
UACGUAGGGGGCUAGCGUUGUCCGGAAUCAUUGGGCGUAAAGCGCGCGUAGGCGGUCCGGUAAGUCCGCUGUGAAAGUCGGGGGCUCAACCCUGGGAUGCCGGUCGAUACUGCCGGACUAGAGUUCGGAAGAGGCGAGUGGAAUUCCCGGUGUAGCGGUGAAAUGCGCAGAUAUCGGGAGGAACACCUAUGGCGAAGGCAGCUCGCUGGGACGUUACUGACGCUGGAGGCACGAAAGCGUGGGGGAGCAAACAGG